rnacentral:rRNA from 1 species
GAGCCUGCGGCUAAUUUGAUCACACGGGAAAACUUCCGGACACUGGGAGGAUGACAGAUGAGAGUCUUUCUGAUGGUGGAUGUGGCAUGGCCGUUUUGUUGGGGAGCGAUUUGUUGGUAAUUCCGAACGAACGAGACUUAGCUUUAAUAGGGCGUGGUUCUCGCACCUGCACCCUUGAGGACAGCGCUCCUAGACGCACGAAACAGAGAUAACGGUCUGUGAGGCCUUAGAUGUCCGGGGCCGCACGCGCGCUA